ACACAGCAAAUUCAUCAGUGUUAAAUUUCAAGUGUUAAGCCAAUUUAGAGUAAAGUGUUGAAGUUAUAGUGUAAAAUUUAGAGAAAUUAACACUAUCAGUGUGUUAAAAGCUUGUUUGCUUCAGUGUUAUCACAGAGUUACAGGUAUCCAACACCCCCUGGUGUUAUUUGCAACAUCCGGGCAUUUAUUCAGCGAUCUCGCUGAAAGAUUUUUCCAGACGCCAUUUUCUCGUGCCAUGCGGAGGAUGAGAAACGACAACUGGAACCAACCGGAUCAUGAGACACUACUUUUAAAAUUUUCUUCUUCAGGGUAGAAAGAUAUUGCUGUCAUCCUUAGAAGUUGACUGGUGAUCACCCAUCUACAAUCCUUCCUGAUGAAUCACACACCAUCCUCAGAGUGUUUCCAAGGCUGCUGGACACUAAAGAUCUGAUAGCUCAAGGUUUUAGACUCCUCUUUGGUCCACAAACAGCUGUC